rnacentral:rRNA from 1 species
GAUGAACGCUGGCGGCGUGCCUAAUACAUGCAAGUCGAGCGAACAGACGAGGAGCUUGCUCCUCUGACGUUAGCGGCGGACGGGUGAGUAACACGUGGAUAACCUACCUAUAAGACUGGGAUAACUUCGGGAAACCGGAGCUAAUACCGGAUAAUAUAUUGAACCGCAUGGUUCAAUAGUGAAAGACGGUUUUGCUGUCACUUAUAGAUGGAUCCGCGCCGCAUUAGCUAGUUGGUACGGUAACGGCUUACCAAGGCAACGAUGCGUAACCGACCUGAGAGGGUGAUCGGCCACACUGGAACUGAGACACGGUCCAGACUCCUACGGGAGGCAGCAGUAGGGAAUCUUCCGCAAUGGGCGAAAGCCUGACGGAGCAACGCCGCGUGAGUGACGAAGGUCUUCGGAUCGUAAAACUCUGUUAUUAGGGAAGAAAAAAUGUGUAAGUAACUAUGCACGUCUUGACGGUACCUAAUCAGAAAGCCACGGCUAACUACGUG